GGAUUAAUAUGACAGCCAAAAAUGGGAACUUAUUUAAAGAUAAUUACGAAAAAUGUUGGACGGAAGUGAAAAAAGAUUUAGAAAUUUGGUCAAAUUUGAAACUCUCGCUGCUGGGCCGUAUUGCUGUGAUAAAGAUGAAUGUAUUGCCUAGAAUGUUGUUUUUGUUUCAGACAUUACAAAUUGUAGAUAAGAUGGACUGUUUCAAGAAGUGGCAGAGAGAUAUUUCUAGAUUUGUCUGGCAGGGCAAGAAGCCCAGAAUAAAAUUUAAGAUAUUAACUGAUGCCAAGGAAAGAGGUGGAUUUGCCCUGCCAGACCUUAAACUUUAUUAUGAAUCAGCAGCUUUUUGCUGGCUGAAAGAAUGGCUACUUCUUGAAAACACAGACAUUUUGGAUUUAGAAGGUUUUAACAAUGUAUUUGGAUGGCAUGCAUACUUAUGGUAUGAUAAGGUCAAAGCACACAAAGCAUUCAAAAACCAUAUUGUUAGGAAAGCAUUGUUUAAUGUUUGGAUAAGAUACAAAGAUUUAUUGGAAAAUAAAACCCCAAGGUGGCUGUCACCAAUGGAAGCAAAAGCUCUGAAAAGGCUCAAUAUGGAGGCCAAAUGGCCGACAUAUUGGGAAAUUUUGGAGCAAGAAGGAGAUAAAUUGAGAUUGCAGAGUUUUGAAAAAUUAAAAUAAAGUGAGAGAUUGGCUUCAUUACUAUCAGAUAAUGGAGGCAUAUAAUUUGGAUAAGAAAAUAGGCUUCCAAGUGGAAAAGUCAAAAUUAGAAACAGAAUUGUUAGAACCCAAAACUAAAAAUUUGUCAAGAAUGUAUAACUUGCUGUUGAAAUGGAAUACUCAGGAUGAAACGGUGAAAUCUGCUAUGAUUAAAUGGGCACAAGAUGUUGGACAUAAUAUUAUGUUUGCUGACUGGGAACAGUUAUGGACCACAGGUAUGAGGUUUACGGCAUGUAAUGCCUUAAGAGAGAAUAUUAUGAAAAUGAUAUACAGGUGGUACAUGACCCCAGUCAAGCUUGCAAAAAUUUAUCAUUUGCCCGAUAAUAAAUGUUGGAAAUGUAAAGAAACUGAAGGUACAUUCUUUCACCUUUGGUGGACGUGCCCAAAGAUCAAGGCUUUCUGGGAAAUGAUAUAUAAUGAACUGAAAAAGGUAUUUAAAUAUACCUUUCUGAAGAAACCAGAGGCCUUUCUUUUGGGCAUUGUCGGCCAACUGGUGCCAAAGAAGGACAGAACCUUUUUCAUGUAUGCUACAACAGCAGCAAGAAUACUUAUCGCAAAGUAUUGGAAGACACAAGAUCUACCCACUUUGGAAGAAUGGCAGAUGAAGGUGAUUGACUACAUGGAAUUGGCGGAAAUGACUGGCAGAAUCCGAGACCAGGGAGAAGAGUCGGUGAAAGAAGACUGGAAGAAAUUUAAAGACUAUUUACAGAAAUAUUGCAAAAUUAAGGAAUUUUAGAAGGAUGUCGGAUAGAAACUAAGAGGUUUUUAGCUGUAAUGCUUUUAAGAGAUAUGAAAAAAAAAAGGUUAACAAUUGGGUAAAAGAUUAAUGGUAAGGAUUUGCUGAACCAACAAACUGAACUGGAAUACAAAGAAGGGAGGUAUGAGGAGGUCCGGGAAAUAAGAGCAAGGAAGAUAGGUUAUGGAAAAUUAUUGUGCUUUUAACUGUUUUAUUUUGUAUGUUUUUCCUUAUUUUCUACUUUUUUGUUAUAUCUUAAAACUUUAUACUUUUUCUUUAUUUUGUAUUUUCACGUAUUUUUUGAAACUUUAAUAAAUAUC